UAAAUUGUUCAUUAAUUGUGAACUGGAAUGAAGGAAAAAAUAGUUUAUAUCUGUCUUAGAAUAUAUAAAUUGAAUUUAAAUUUUUUGUAAAAAUGCAAAAAUAUUUUUUAGGGACAAGAAGACCCUAUAAAGCUUUAUUGAUUUUGUUUAUAUAUUUUAAACUAAAUUCAUUUGAUUGGGGCAAUAAUUUAUAUAUAAUCAAUAUAAAUUUAAUUGAAAAUUUUAUUAUUUUAGAAUAAUGAUCCAUUAAUAAUGAAAAAAUGAUUAAGUUACUUUAGGGAUAACAGGAUAAUUUUUAUUAGAAAGUUCUUAUUAAUAAUAAAGUUUAUUACCUCGAUGUUGAAUUAAUUUAAUUUAAUGGUGAAGUAACUUUUUGAGUUUGACUGUUCGUCAAUUAAAUAAUUACAUGAUCUGAGUUC
rnacentral:rRNA from 1 species